AAAAACUAAAAUGUUAAUACACUCUUGUGUCACUCAAAAAGACUAAAAAACCACUCAAAGAUGGUAAUAUAUUAAACUAGAAUGGUUAUUGCCAAAGUUAAGAAGAUUAGAAAGUCUUGAAACAAGACUAAGGACUAGAAAGGCAUUGACAAAGAUGAAGAAGGCUUCACUCUUGCCUCAAUAUAUACUCUUAACUAGGAACUACAUGGCAAUAUCCUAUAGGACCUCCAAAAUAAGUUAACUUUCCAAGAUACGUAUCUUAACUUGCAAGGUAAGUUUUUUAUAUGUUUGCCACAUAAUUAGCUUAUUCCACAAGCUACCAUCAUGUGAUUAACUUUUUGACCAAGUUCUAACAUACUAAUCAACUACAAACACAUAUAAAAUCAAAGCAAUGUCUAUAAAGCUUCUAAGAAGCUUGUCUAGAAAAUAUUAUGAAAUAAAUUUAUUUUUAUCUACUUUUAUUUAAUCACAUAGGUACAUAUUAGAGUAAAUAUGUAUUUCCAUGAUAUAAGAUUUAAUUAUGAUUUAUUAACAGGUUUUUUUAUAAUUAUUAAAGAUUUAUUAGAAUUAUUUUAGAUUUUUUUAUGAAUUCUUCAUAAUUUUUUGAAGAUUUAUUAGAAUUUUUUGAAACUUUAUUUUUAUUUAUUAGGAUUUUUUAAAGAUUUAAAUAAAAUUUUUAAAGAUUAUUUAAGGUUCAUUUUUAAUUGAUUAAAAUGUAUAAUAAGAUAUAUCUAGGAUUUUUUAAGAUUAAUAGAAUAUACUUAAGAUGAUUAAAAACUUACUUAAGUUAUUCAAGAUUGCCAACAAGAUGUUUCUAAACACCUUAUAUAUUGUUUUGAUUGUGAUGCAAUUUGAAGUUAAGAUUAAACUCUUCUAUAGUCAAAUAUUCAAUAUAUUCUCAUACUGAUUUUUACAUAAUAUAGAAAGUAUAAGUAGGGAUGGAAAAUUUAACUUUGUUUCUUGAAUUGUCUCAAAUUUAGUCUAAUCCAUUAAGGAUACUAAUUUCAUAGGUUUAACCUAUUUAAUACCUAUGUCGGCCUAGAUUGCAUAAUUUGUUGUGUAUUAGAAUUUAAUCAAAUAAAUUAUAAUUUGUGAAGCCAACUACUAUGUUGUCAAUUAUACGUGGAUAUAUAUGAGUUAUCCAUGCCUUAUAAGCCUGCUUAUUAUUAUGUCUUAGUGAUACUCAAGGCCUACUACAUAUCCUUGAUUUUUCCUCUUAAUUGAGUAUUGGCCUUUUAGAACUAAAUUCAACAAUAAGGUUUGUGAUGUAUUUGCCUUGAUAAAAUCAAAAAAAACUUAAUCAUAUUUCUAGAGCUAAAUUACGUUGACUUUGUGUCAAUAUUAAGAACUUAAAGAAUUUAAUUAAACAUGUAAGAUGUAUCUCAAAGAAAGAUGACAUAAAGAAAGCAAAAAAAUAUAUAUAAUUAAGAAAAAAUUGAAAUUGCUAUUCCUAAAGAUAAGAAAUGUACAUACUCUUGAAAUUAGACUAAAAGCAAGAAAGAGUUGACAAGAAGUAAAAAGGUAUCACUUUUGUUUCUAUAUAUACUAUCUAAUUAAAAAAUUACAUAGAGACAUUCUAUAGGUCAUUUGACAUGUACUUAACUUGCAAGGUAGGUUUUCAAUACAUGUGCCAUAUUGCCAACUUGUAAAGCAAAUAGUCAACAUGUGAGGCUUGUGGUCAAUUUGUUGGCAAAUUUUUCAACUUAUCAAUUACCUAUAAAUACUUAGAAAGUCAAAUCUGCAUUUAUAAAGCUUCUAAGAAGCUUUCCUAUAAGCUAUUAUUAAAUUUAUCUACUUCUAUCUAUCUCUUCUUAUCUUAAUAAAUACUAAUAUUAAUAUGUGUAUUUAUAGUACUUUAAAAGUAAUGAAAUUAUAUGUAGUAUUUUGGAUAGUUUGCACAAAUAAAAUUUAUAUUUAAGAUUAAAAAUAGUUAUUGUGUUAAGACUUACUACAACUAUAAUAAAUCUUUUAUAUUAAAAGAAUAGCUAACACACACUAUUAUUUUGGACCUUGGUUGCAAUUAGAGAUGUAAUAAAGGUCAUAAUACUCAUAUUUGAUUUAGAUCUUUUUUAUUUUUUUCCAUACUAUAUGUAUUAUUUGACUUUGAUAUUGGUUAAUUUUUAUAGUUAAAUUUCUUAGUUCAUAUAGUUUUAAUAUAGUCAUAAUUUAUUUUAUUUAUCUUUGGAAUAAAAAUCAUUGUAUUUUUAAUGUAAUUAUUCUUAUUAUCUAUUUAAAGUCCUUAUAAGCUCCUUGAAAUAUAAAAAUUAUUGAUUUGGUCUUGAUUAUGAGAUUGUAACCACACUUUAAAAGAAUUGGCUUGAUUUGUGCCUUGUAUGUUAGGUAUUGUCUACAAUGAGAAUUUGUUAUUUUAAAGUAGUAUCAACAAUGUAUUUAGAAUUAAAUUUUUUUACAGCAAUACCAUAGAUUUUUCAUAAUUAGCACUGCUAAUUUUCUUUACAUGAUAUGAUCUAUCUACUUAAUUAGCUAAUUUUAACAUCUAAGAGAUUGCUCUGGCAUUUUGAGAUGGCAUUAUAAUAUUUUCUAAGAUGCAAUCUUUGAUCUUUUAAUGUCCUAUUUAGAGAGGCAUUUAGAAACUUGUUUGUUAUAGAGAUUUUUUGAAUAGCUAAUAGAACUAAAUUUGAUUAUAAUUGUAUCUAAAGUUGUUCUAUUAUUAAUCCUAAUAUGAUUAGUAAUAAGAAGAUGGCCAAAAAAAUCCUCAAUCUAUCAUGUUAUAUAGUAGAUGUUGAUUAUAGAAAGGUAUUCCCAACAUUAACUUAAAUAAUUGUUACUACUUUAGAAAUAUAUUAUUGCAAGCCAAUUCCUUCCUAAGCCUCUUUUUUCUUAUAUCUUAGUGUAAAAAAGCCUUUAGAGUUUUUAUCAAUAUUAGAAUUAAAUAAUACACUAGUUAGAAGAAUUGUCAACAUAUCUUGUUGCUGUGAUUUGUGGAUUGUUGUCUUGCCAAUAUUAAUAAGGCUUAGCUAUUGCCUCCUUGGCGUUAAUGAAUUUAGCUGCUACAACUUGCCUAUUUUUUGAUGUUAGAAUGCAUUGCAGUGAUUUUGCUUAAGAUUGCACAAUGCCGUGGCCAAGUAGAGCCAGCAAUAAACUAAUAAUUUUAGAUAAUCAAUAAAAAUGUGUUUUUGUUGUUUUUCAUUGAAUUAUGCACCAUCACCUCCAUCUCCUAACCAGCACUUGACUAUAUGGCUAUAUAAAACUGAUGCUCCAAAGUUUUCUCAAACCAAGAACCUUUUAUAAGUCAAGAGCAACCGUUUGAAACUCAUCUGAGAGGCCUUUGAGCGCGAUCUACGUUGGAAGUUCUAUUAAAUUCAAAUGUAGAUUUCUAUCACGGUGCCAAAUAAUUCUAGAAUCAAAAUUUGGGUCCCAAGCUUGAAGGUGAAGAAACAGAUAGAGGAUUUGUAAGGAGACAAAACCAAAACUUUGCUCAUAGAUAU
rnacentral:lncRNA from 1 species